rnacentral:miRNA from 1 species
GCUGUUAGUUUGUAGGGUGGUG